UAUAAUUUGAUGUAAGAUGCAUUUAGAAUUUUGAAUUCUAUGGAUUUGGUUUAAUUCCAAAAGUUAUAG
rnacentral:tRNA from 1 species